AAUUAUAUAGUUUACUUAAAACAAUAGUUUGUGGAACUACUAAUCUAAUAAUCAAAUU
rnacentral:tRNA from 1 species